rnacentral:rRNA from 1 species
UACAGAGGUCCCAAGCGUUGUUCGGAUUCACUGGGCGUAAAGGGUGCGUAGGCGGUCGGGUAAGUCUGAUGUGAAAUCUCACAGCUUAACUGUGAAACUGCAUUGGAUACUAUCCGGCUUGAGGAAUGGAGGGGGAGACUGGAAUACUUGGUGUAGCAGUGAAAUGCGUAGAUAUCAAGUGGAACACCAGUGGCGAAGGCGAGUCUCUGGACAUUUCCUGACGCUGAGGCACGAAAAGCCAGGGGGAGCAAACGGG